rnacentral:piRNA from 1 species
UGUCUGUAUGGGCGAGAUGACUGAGA